rnacentral:rRNA from 1 species
UGAUGACGAGACGCUAAGGCGUUGAAGCAGUGUAUGUCAGACUUCCAAGAAAAGCUCGCAAUGUCACAAAUAAGAAAUGCCUGUACCAUAACCGACACAGGUGGGUAGGUAGAGUAUACUAAGGGGCGCGAGAUAACUCUCUCUAAGGAACUCGGCAAAAUGACUCCGUAACUUCGGGAGAAGGAGUGCCUUAUUUAUAAGGUUGCAAUAACAAGAUCCAAGCAACUGUUUAUCAAAAACACAGGUCUCCGCUAAGUCGUAAGACGAUGUAUGGGGGCUGACGCCUGCCCAGUGCCAGAAGGUUAAAGAAGUUGGUUAGUGUAUGCGAAGCUGAUGACUGAAGCCCUGGUGAACGGCGGCCGUAACAAUAUCGGUCCUAAGGUAGCGAAAUUCCUUGUCGGGUAAGUUCCGACCCGCACGAAAGGCGUAAUGAUUUGGAUACUGUCUCGGAGAGAGGCUCGGUGAAAUAGACUUGUCUGUGAAGAUGCGGACUACCUGCACCAGGACAGAAAGACCCUAUGAAGCUUUACUGUAACUUGAAAUUGGAAUUGGACUUUGCUUGCGCAGUAUAGGUGGGAAGCGUUGAAAAUAUUCUUGCGGGAGUAUUGGAGCUAUCAGUGAGAUACCACUCUUGUAAUGUUAGAUUUCUAACUUUGAACCAUAAUCUGGUCAAAGAACAGUUUCAGGUGGGCAGUUUGACUGGGGCGGUCGCCUCCCAAAUGGUAACGGAGGCGUACAAAGGUUUCCUCUGAACGGAUAGAAAUCGUAUCUAGAGUGUAAAGGCAUAAGGAAGCUUGACUGUGAGACCUACAAGUCGAGCAGGGACGAAAGUCGGUCUUAGUGAUCUGACGGUACUGAGUGGAAAGGCCGUCACUCAACGGAUAAAAGUUACUCUAGGAUAACAGGCUGAUCUCCCCCAAGAGUUCACAUCGACGGGGAGGUUUGGCACCUCGAUGUCGGCUCAUCGCAUCCUGGGGCGGUAGUACGUCCCAAGGGUUGGGCUGUUCGCCCAUGAAAGCGGUACGCGAGCUGGGUUCAGAACGUCGUGAGACAGUUCGGUCCAUAUCCGGUGUAGGCGCUAGAAUAUUGAGAGGAGCCUUCUUUAGUACGAGAGGACCGAGAAGGACACACCGCUGGUGUACCAGUUAUCGUGCCAACGGUAAACGCUGGGUAGCUAUGUGUGGAGUGGAUAACCGCUGAAAGCAUCUAAGUGGGAAGCCCACCUCGAGAUGAGUA